GACAGAGGCCUCGAGCGUUAGGCGGAAUCACUGGGCUUAAAGCGUGUGUAGGCGGGCCCGUAAGUGUCUUGUGAAAUCCCACGGCUCAACCGUGGAACUGCUGGGCAUACUGUGGGUCUUGGGCCAACUAGGGGCAGCCGGAACAAGCGGUGGAGCGGUGAAAUGCGUAGAUAUCGCUUGGAACGCCGAAGGUGAAAACAGGCUGCUGGGGUUGCGCCGACGCUGAGACACGAAAGCCAGGGGAGCAAACGGG
rnacentral:rRNA from 1 species